rnacentral:misc_RNA from 1 species
GAUGAAGAACGUAGCGAAAUGCGAUACUUGGUGCGAAUUGCAGAAUCCCGUGAACCAUCGAGUCUUUGAACGCAAGUUGCGCCUCAAGCCAUUAGGUUGAGGGCACGUCUGCCUGGGCGUCACAUAUCGUUGCCUGAUGCCAGUUUCCUCGUGAUGGGUGACUGUGCAGGGCGAAUGAUGGCUUCCCGUGAGCAUUGUUGCCUCAUGGUUGGUUGAAAAUUGAGUCCUUGGUAGGGAGCGCCGUGAUAGAUGGUGGUUGAGUGACGAACGAGACCCAAUCAUGUGAGACCCCUACCGAAUUUGGCCUUCAUGACCCACAUGCGUCUUUGGAACGCUCAUGACGAGACCUCAGGUCAGGCGGGGCUACCCGCUGAGUUUAAGCAUAUCAAUAAGCGGAGGA